rnacentral:tRNA from 1 species
AUUUAUAUAGUUUAAAUAAUAAAACAUUACAUUUUCAAUGUAAAAAUAAUUUUUUAUAAAUUUAUAAAUA